AACUCAGGAGCCUCUGCCUCAGUUCCCUAUGAUUAAUGAAAAUUUUAAAAAGAAACCACAAUGCAAAUAAUAAAGUUCUUAGUUGCGUGCCUGUCGUGUGGUAUCAGGUUGAGUUUCAUAAGCUCUGCUGAGGUCAGAAAUCAGCAGAAACGGGACAGGCUCUCAGCUGUCUAGUCCCAAGUCUCUUCCUCCAGGAAGACUUCCCGGACCUUCCUCAGUCUCAGAUAGCCUCACAAUAACUCUGCUACUGUGUUUGAUCUUCUGCAGGAUGCUGUGUGAGCUGCAUGUGAGUUUUGUGAGUUAUGAGUCACAGGUGGCUCCAACCCUGCUUUCUGUCCUUCAGUCUCCCAUUCAGCACCCAACAGAAGAUGCUAGGCACCACUCUGCAUCCUCAAGGGAUAUCGU
rnacentral:lncRNA from 1 species